ACACACACACACACACGUCCACCCUCCGUUUUUUGGAAUUCUGAAGUGCGGUAUUAUCACGUAGCUUUGUGAAAUCAGAGAAUCAGGCUCUGCUAGCCUGGGGAACCUCUUCCAGGAUUCUCUGGGUGGGGCUGGAGCCCAUCUUUCCUUACACAGAGUCCAGACUAUAAGAAGGUAUUUGUCUAUCAAGGCUGGAGUUUUAACUCAGUGUGCACUUGGCCAAGUGUACACUGGUUGGUCUUAACAUGACAGGGGCCCACAGAUUCUACUGCCUAAAGGAUUGAGAGUCCCCCAAAACGUGGAGGGUCAUCCAGGGCUCAGGGUCCAGAAGAUCAAAGCUAUUCCAAUGGCUGGAGACACUAGCAGAGGAGAGACUUUCCUGGAGCACGUGAGGCAUAGGCAGGGGCCCUAACAACUCGGAGAGGCAGAUCAGGUCACUGUGAAGGCCAAGGGGACCCCAACAUCACCAACUGUCACUGUGGUCUAUCCUGACCUGUGGCGUCUUUCAGGAAUAAGAAUUCGGUGGUCUGGGAAGUGGGAAGUUGGGGGGGGGGUGCCUGCUUCUCCCACCCCUUCCUUAUCACCCCUCCCAACCUGGCCAGGGUCCCAAGGGAAGAAUGGAGCCCAGGUUUGCACUGGCCCAGAGCUACUAACAUCCCUCCCCUCGAUACACCCCCAGCUGGUCCAAGUCCUUUGUCUCCUGUUCCAAAGCUGGCUGCCAUGGGCAGCUGCUGGGCCACAGUCCAGGGGAUGCUACAGGCUGACAGGUCAAGCACCAGGUUCCUCAGCCACCCAGUCUUGUCCUAUCUUCCUAUGUCACCCUUCUUCAGAGACCCAGCACUGAGAGCUACAUGAAGUGGCAAGGAGUGGCCAGAGCAGGCUGGAGCGAGAGAGCCCUUUCUUUCCAGUACAGAGCCCUGUGCCAAGAGGGAGGCACUUACCUGCUGUGUCUCCCUCCUGAGGGGCCCAGCUGGCCUGUCACUGUUCCUUGUCUGCAGACAGCGGUGGGCCAGGUUGUUGAAAAGGGAGGUGUAGAGAAACAGCAGACCCAUUGGAGGGUAAGGCUGAGAUCCAAAUCCCAGCCUACGGGAAAGCAGGUCUGCAGAGAGCCCAGGUGAAGCCACCUGUUCCCGCCUUUGGCCACAUGAAUGUUCCCAGUGCCUGGCCUAGCUUCUGCCUCCCUUGGAGCUCUAUUUAGCUGCCUUCAGGCUCCUAGUAGGACUUGGGCCCUGGCCUGUCCUCCUGGAUCCCUGGUGACUCACACUGCUUUGGAAUUCCACUC